CUCCCAAAGUGAUAGGAUUACAUGUAUGAGCCACCGCACCUGGCCUGAUCAUGGUGUUGAAAGUAGAUUCCAAACGAUCAAGUCUCUAGAAGCUCCUUAUUAAUUAUAAAUACGUUUGAUACCUGGGUGAAACUUAUCCUUCAAUUAGUGACAUAAGGUUGAUGUUUCUUAAAUAUUUUAGGUAUCAACUACACACAAAUAUCAUUAGACCACACACGCACAAAUAUGACGUUUAAAUGUCUAUGGCCUAUAAAUUGACAGGCAGUUUGACAUGGAAAAGCCAAAAUGUUUAAUUUAGGUCCCUGUCUCUACCUUAAAUUGAGCCAUCUCCUUAUGGCUGUUUAAAGCACUUGAAUAUGAUGAUUUUUUCUGUUUUCUUCUACAGAUAUUUAGUGCUGUUCCACCAGAUAGUCAAUGGGGGCACAAUACCAGCAAGUUCCAGUCAGGAUUCAGCUGGUGAAAGGGCAAUUAUGUUAAGCGUAGGCCACAAAGUGAUCUGGGAAGUGUUUAAUCAACAAGUGGUCCCAGUAUAAUAACUGGUGACUGGGUGGCCUUGGAACUGAGUUUUUAGCACAUUGGCUGGGGGACUGAAAGUGAGUCCCAGUUCACCCCACCCAUACAGAGAUCUCUUGCUCAUUUCAGACCUGCUCAUUGGAGUAGCUGCUUGCUACCAAGAGCCAGAAAAAAGAAGCCCAAGACUUGUUUCUUGCCCUCUUGAUCUCUGACAUCAUGCUCUAAAAUUAUGAAGCAAAAUGAUACUUUCUGUAGCAUUGUCUAACUUUGGGAGAGAUGAGACUCUUGCUAUGGAGGAAGCAUGGGAAGAUGAGAAAGAUGGUGGGUGCUGAUAGGGCCUGGAAUUUGGUGUGGGCAGGUUUUGAGUAACAAGAAGGGAUAACAUCACCUAGCCUUCUGUGCUGUCAGCCAGCCUGGGUUUCUGACCAUUCCCAGUAUCCCCAGGUUAUAAGAAGGCAGUCGCUACAAAAACCCAUGUAAAAAUAUUUAUCAAUGUAUUUAUCAGUAUUGGCUGCAGGAAACUAGACUACAUUAAUCAGGGUGAAUUCAGCUCUAGGAGAUGCUUUCAUUGACAUUUCAGGGAUAAAUAACUGACAUGGCCGGAACCCAAAUUCCCCUGGGGCCUUUGUUAACCAAAUGAGCACAGGUUCUGUCCUGUCAGGAGCUUCUGCAGCCUUGGCUAGACCAGACAGGGAUCCAUUCCAGGCUCUAGCCCCUAGCUGUGUCCUCCAGAAUCCAUAAGCCUGUCAGUGGACCUGGGGCCCCAGCGCUUUCAUGCUUUCACAACCAGCACCCCUCUUUGCCUUGGGUUUUGGGCUACAAAACAGCCAAAACUAAACAGUCCAGGACCACUCAGACAUGGCCUUCCCAGUGGCCUCUCUUCUCAGGAAACUGUCAGUCUCAGAGCCCACUCUGAGCUUUGCAGCCCCUGGGCAACAGAAGGUUACAGGAGGAUUAUCAAAGGAUUAGGGGGCUCUGCUGAGUGAGCAUGUACAGGGUGUUUCUGCCAGAGUGAUUUUUCUGAAACAGUCCUGAUCAUGCCACCCCUCUAUAACUCCAUGUCUCCUACAGCUGUGUUUGAAAAGUGUCACCCAACCAUCCCCUGCAUCAAACUCACCCUGGGAAGGGAGGGAUUAUUAACAUGCAGACUCCUGGGUCCACUCUCUGGCCAUUGAAUCUGAAUUUCUGCAUGUAGGGUUCAGGAGCCUACAGUAAAAAAACCUUGUGAUUUUAUGUUCAUGAAAGUGUAAGAGCCAAGGUACACCACAGGAUAAAGUCCAAAUGGCUUAACAUGGUGUACAAGGUGCACCAGCACAUAGCUUAACCUGUUUCUAUCUUCCCUGGAAGCACCUACCAAACCCACAUCUCCCCACUUCUAGCCAUACUGAUACAUCUUGGAGAACUUGCCAGGGUCUCUCUAUCACUCCCAUGCUACCCCCAUUCUUAGUGUACUCUCUCUACCAUUUCCCCCCACCCUUACUCUUCCCCCUUGUUAUUCUUUUAGUCUUCUUAACAAUGAGUUUAGUGAUCAUCUCCUUUGGAUCAAGCAUGCCUCUACUUCCUCCCUCUUAGUGAAACUCACCCUGAAUCAUAACACUGGGUAUCUGCCUUUCUCCCUAUUGGACAUUGAGCCCUGCAAGACUGGGAACUGUGUCUUGUCCUUGGUUUCUCCGUGCUUACUAUGCUUCUUGACCCAUAGUAGGGGCUCAGAAACAGUUGAGAGCUAACAAAGGUCUUCAGUUAGAGAUAUCAGAGCUUUGAGUCUAUUUGGGUUGAGCACGUCUUCUUAACAAAACCUGAAUAUUGAUGGUUUUUAAAUUCUGGUCUCUAAAGGACAAUAAGAUUAAUAAAGAAGAAAUAAACCCAAGAUAUGAGAUUAACUGUGUACAUUUAACUAAAGAUUAAGUUAGGUAUAACAUACGGAACAAAUUACAAAUAGAGGUACCACCACAGUGUGGCCCUGUUCUAACUCUGCAGAGCCACCCACCUGAGGCUGGGGUUGGACUGGUGAGAGUGGCAGAUGGGUGGGCUACCACUGGGAGUGGGGGAACCCAGGACCUGAAACUAAAACAUGUACCUCACCCCAGGACUUUCAAGGAGAAAGGAGAGAGGUCUGAGUGGGCAUUUGUCGGUGUACUAAGGGUCAGUGCUCCUAAGAUCAAGUAACAACCAUACCAAGUCUUAAAGGUAGGAAUUAGGGUAGAGGCCACAAACAACACCAUCAGUGAGGGUCAGGGGUCAGACAAAAACUGGGCCAAGCAUGGGGAAGAGUUUGGGAAAGGUAUAGCUGGUAUGCUCCCAUCAGUUCUUGGGAGGCUUGGCAGGCUCUGCCAUGAGGCUUUAUAAUGAAGGCCUUGUUUUGGGCUGUCAACCAGAGGGAAGUUGUGGGUGCUGGUGAGUGUUCAUGGCAACAGAUACCUGUGGAAGGGUGGCACGUGGGCAUGGUAGGCAGGAAGUCCUUGAUAAGAUUCUUCCCAGCCUCCUCUCUCUGCUAUUAACCAAGGCUUUUGUGGCUUAAAAACAGGCCAGCACCCCUCCCUCUGCUCUGGUCAACCAUAUGUAGCCCCCUUUUCAUCUCUUGCUCUCCCAAAAUGAACUCAGAUCAUGAAAAGGUGCACCCAUGAGUUUGCACAUUUGAAACUUUAUUAACACCCCUGAAGUUCUUUCUUUUUGCAGAGGCCUCUGAUAGAAGAUGCAAUUUCCCUAAACAGCCAGCUCCUGUUACUUUGGCAGACCUUUCAACCUUAGCCUGACAAGAAGCUUGUGUCCGCCUCCCUGCAUUAACUGAGUCUUUUUUCAGAAUCCCAGGGUGUGUCAGCAGCAGUGUGUGUAUUCCAAAUGGCUCACUGUGCAUGUUUCUCUAGCUUUCUUACAUCCUUUUGUUUUAUUAUUUCCAGCUUGGCCCGUAUUUGCCAUUUUUUUCCACUUAAUCAAAAGGUCGAAUGAAAGAAUGUUUAUUCAUCAGAUUUCCAUGGAACCAUGCCAAUAGGGAGUAUCAUGAAGGCGAGUUGUCCUGGCUCCCCACCUCCAUCCUGGCCCUGCUGCUCUCUGCUUCGCUGUGUAUGCACAACCCCAUGGGUGCCUGCCUCCAGGUGGGAAUGGCCACUCUCCGGCUCUCCGCAUAUGGCUUCAGCAUUGUUUCAACCCCCUUCUCCAUCCUACCUUGCUGUUACAGUUCCAAGAUUUGUUUCUCACUAGCGUUUUAGGCCCUGCAACCACACUGUGUUUUUGAGAGAGAGUCUGACAUGUAUACGCAGUACAUGCCAUUUGGCCUUUGCUUGAUACAUGUCUGCUUCUCUGCUGUUCUUUUUAAUUGAAAGGGAAAGAGGUAUGUAUACGAGCUGGAGCAGGACUGGGGCCGUUAAAACUUGAGCCUAGUCCUGGCUCUGGCAUUGAGUUUCCCGCUGACCUCAGGCAAGUUCCCUAAACCUUGGCUUUUUUACUGGCUUUAAUGAGUAGUCCGGCUGUUUCUUGGAAAACAUGUUAAAUAUGUUGAAAAUGCUAAAUAUUGAAAAUACUUUCUCAGCUGCAUCUUUUGGCAAAUUCCAGAUUCCUUUCUAUCCCUCUUUGGUUUUGGAAGGUCCAAGGUCAGAUAUCCUAGUUUCCCUCUGCCUAAGCCUCUUCAGUUAGCUGGCCCAGUUUUCAUGGAAAUAGGAAUAUGAGGCAUAGACAUUCAUUAACUGUAGCUGUUAAAAUUCCCAAGCAAAUCCAAGUAGAAUGUGGUUAUGAAAGCCAAGGCCUGUUGCCAAAGAAAGAUGUAUGUGUGUGUGUGUGUGUGCAUGCACACGCGUGCGUGCAUUGUGGGAUAUGUGCUUGUUAUAUAACUUCUGAUCCUUGAUCCCUGGAUGUUAUCCAGUGAGUAGCUGGUUGGAUUUGGGGCUUAACAUGGCUUGGGAGCUGUUUGGAGCCUUGGUGGGAACUAGAUGACUCUGUGUUGUCUCAAUCCUGCUGUGUAAAUAGUCUCUUCUCCUGAUUCAUCUGCCACAGCCCAGCUGCUUUUCGGCUCCAGUGAUCCUGCUUACUGAGUCUCCCAGAGACAGAGAUCUGAAUGGUCGGUGAGGAGCCCGUCCCAGGCUGGCAGGAAGGAUUCUGGGCACUCUGGGGACAUCUUUCAUGUCCUGUACCAGCUCCAUAGACAUUUAGCUGAGGGAACGAUCAUGAAUGUUUGGAGCUGAGCCCUCAGGCUCCUGUUGGUUUAGGUGGAACUUGAUGCUGUACCUAUAAGACAUCUUGUUACAUGAAGUGCGGCUGAUGGGAGAAGCAGAAGGAGUCUGGCUCUGUCACCCAAGCUAGAGUGCAGUG